rnacentral:rRNA from 1 species
GCAAAGCACUUUGAAGAGAGAGUUAAAGAGGACGUGAAACCGGUAAGGUGGAAACGGAUAGAGUCGGCGUAUCAUUCAAUUAUUCAGUUACAUUAUUUUUAUGUUGUGACCUCUGAGCUCCAGAUUGGGACAGAGGGAAUCAGCAUAAUUUUUUGUGGUGCAUUUACUUGAUUGGUGCUUGGGGAUGUUUGAGGCAGAUUUGUUUCCGUCGUUUUGAGGCCAGCUUGCUGGUACCCAAACGGUGUUAGCAUUUUUUGUCUUGGGCAUUUGAGUAUGGCUCACGUGUAUUUAUUGGACAGAUCUGAGUGUAAGUUACGGUCGCAUGCGACACGUGCUUUUCAAUUAGUUCGGUCCAGUUAAUGCUCUCGUACUCGUUCCCCAUGUAAAAGCCGGUCAUCUAUCCGACCCGUCUUGAAACACGGACCAAGGAGUUUAUCGUGUGCGCAAGUUUUUGGGUGUUAAAAACUUAAAAGCGAAAUGAAAGUAAAUGACUCUUUAGAGUCUGAUGUGCGAUCUUGUAAAAAAGUGUAGCAUGGCCCCAUUCUAACUGUUUACAGUAGGGUGGCGGAAGAGCGUACUGCGGUGAGACCCGAAAGAUGGUGAACUAUUCCUGAGCAGGACGAAGCCAGAGGAAACUCUGGUGGAAGUCCGAAGCGGUUCUGACGUGCAAAUCGAUCGUCUGACGUUCGGCCCCAUAUGGUCGAAAUAUUUAUUCNAACCUUCUAUCAUCUGGCCNUCU